rnacentral:rRNA from 1 species
CCUACGGGGGGCUGCAGUGGGGGAUAUUGCACAAUGGGGGAAACCCUGAUGCAGCGACGCCGCGUGUGGGAAGACGGUCCUCUGGAUUGUAAACCACUGUCCCCAGGGACGAAGAUGACGGUACCUGGGGAGGAAGCUCCGGCUAACUACGUGCCAGCAGCCGCGGUAAUACGUAGGGAGCGAGCGUUGUCCAGAAUUACUGGGUGAAAAGGGAGCGUAGGCGGGGGUGCAAGUUGGGUGUCAAAACUACCGGCUCAACUGGUAGUCGCACUCAAAACUGCAGCUCUUGAGUGAAGUAGAGGCAGGCGGAAUUCGUAGUGUAGCGGUGAAAUGCGUAGAUAUUAGGAGGAACACCAGUGGCGAAGGCGACCUGCUGGGCUUUUACUGACGCUGAGGCUCGAAAGUGUGGGGAGCAAACAGGAUUAGAUACCCCAGUAGUC